ensembl:lncRNA
AUCUCUAUCUUGAUUGUAGAGACAUUGUUUCCUGACCAGCUGGAGGUCGGAGGGUGGGGUGGGGGGAGUUGGGGGGAGCAUUCCUGGCUGCCUCUGCGUUUUUGUGGGUGUGGUACUAAGUGUAUCUUGUUUACCUUAUCUUUCUGUGGAAAAAGUUUUGAAGUCUCGUUAGGUUUGUCACAUCAUGCCUGUUGCCUAGCACCACCAGAAGUGUUCUCUUCCAGCAACAAAGACUGGAUAGGUAGGAGGUUGUCCUAGGAGCCUUGGCCUUAUAGAAGUUGAGAGGAAGGGUUUCUUGAGUUGCUGUUUUUUAAACUCUUUAUUCUUUUUUUUUUUUUUUAACUGGAUUAAAUAUCCUUCAAUUAGAGUACCCAACUUGCCCAGAGUGAAUUAGUUUCCAAUAUGCAAGCUGAAAGGUUAAAAAACUUCAUCCCCAGAGGUUAGUAACCUUCCAAGCAGUUUCACAUGGCUCUUACAUGCCAGUGUUGUGGGGGAGAGGACCUCUCUACACAGUGUGACAGUUUCACGUUUUUUGAUCCAUAUAUUUUAAUGAAAUCAUUGUGUUCCAAGUUAAGUAAAUAAGGAAUUAUUUAUAGAUCUGAACACAUUUUAUAUCCCUUCUUUUACUGCUACUUUGGUUAAGUUUUUUUCCUUUAAGGUGAAUCUGAGAUUACAAGAAUACAGAACAAUUCUUAAGAAACAAGUUAACAAAGUGUAACCUUCAUAAAGGUUGUAUAAAUUACCUUUAGAUUUUUUUUUUAAUGAUUGUCUCCAUAGCCUCCUCCCUUCUUCCUUCUCUGCACUGCUGCUUUCUCAGUCGGUAUGCCUUUGCUUUGCACAUAGCUGCUUUUAUCGCAUAAACUUCAGCCAGUUAUUUUUGUUAAUAAAAUCCAUUCGUCAUUUAUGCUUCCAUUCCUUUGAGAUCACAGCUGAAAUAGGCAAUAAAAGUUAGAUGAACCUUCCCAACUGACUUUCCUCUUAGAUUUUAAAUGCAUCCAUAUGAUGUCUAUUUAAAAUGAAGAAAAGAACAGGGAUCUGGAAAAGAAAAGAAUAUUUUUGUAGGUUCUGUGCAGAUGUGGUUAUCUGCUUGUCUGGUUCACUGUGGUAGGCGCCACAAAAAUGGGUAGAUUGAUACGUGUUGCAUUUCUUUCCCCUCUGGCAAAGUGAGUUAUUAAUUUCAGUGAGAGGCAGUGGCAGAAUGUUGUUACUAAUGAGGUCUGAAUCAGAUUGUUGUUUACUGGUUAUGUAACAUGUUGCUGGAAGUAUUAUUAAAAGUUGCCUUCUGUAGCAAGGUAGAGGCAAGUCAAUUCUGCUUACCCUCUUCCCUGGGUUUUAAUUCUUGGCUGAACCUGAAGGCACAUUAGGCUAUAACCAUAAUUAUACCUGGGCAGCCUGUCUGUUUCCUGUUUUCAUCAUGAACCCAAACAUUAUGAUUUGCAGUGAUGAUCUUUUUUGUCCUUUGUGUUAAACAGAGGCAGUAUGUUUUCUCUCGAUUCUGAAAACAGAUUUGUAACUUGGUCAAAUCAAAGAUAUUGGGGUCUUAGUGUUUUGAAGACUAGGCAGUAAAAUAAUACCAAAUCAUUUUUAAUUUCUUAGGAACUUAAGUUGAGAUACUGUCUUAAAUAAUCGAUUUUGUACAUAUUGAUUGUUGUUGUAUGUAAAUUUUAUUAUUACCAGUAGUUGGUAGGGUCUUUGAAUUAAGAAAGCCCUUUUUGUUUAUGACUUAUCAGUGUUUAUUAUUACCAGAUGUAUAUUUUGGUUUAGGCAGUGAGCUGCACAUUUGGGUGAGUUUCAUGGCUGACUUGAGUACACUUUAGGAUACAGCUGCCUUUAUUGCUCUGGUUUAUCAGUCUUCCCUGUUCUCUUUACUUCCAGAGGGUCGUGUUCCUUCUUUCUCUUUUUCAUGCUUCAUAUUAACCACAAAGAAGCCAAAUAGGAGUUCCCAUUGUUAAGGACCCGGCAUUAUCUCUGUGAGGAUGCGGGUACCAUUCCUGGCCUUGCUCAGUGGGUUAAGGAUCCGGCAUUGCCGUGGCUGUGGCUUAGGCCCCAGCUGCAGCUCCAAUUCGACCCCUCGCCAGAAACUUCCUUACGGUGCAGUUGAGGCCAUAAAAAAAGAAAAAGAAGAAGCCAAAAUAGUUUUGUUUCUUCAGACAUUUUGGGUGUUUUAUAUCUUAUGGGUUUGCCAGUAUGCUAAUAAAGUCAAAGACAUUGGAGAUUUAGUUUUGUAAGGGAAGGUCUUAUAAAAGGAACUCUUACAAGUAGCCUGAGGGAUGAAAGCUCUACUAGUCUGAAUAUUUUGGAGAAAAGAUUAUUUGGGAGGAUUGGACUGAAGAAGGCUGCACAGAGAUAGGAGCUUUCCCCACCGUAGAAGAUGAUGAAUGACCCUACAAAGCCUUUCCAUGUCUUUUUAUACCUUGUUUUUCUACUGCCACAGUUAAUCAAAUAAAGGUAAUUGAAAUUCUUAGGGCUGGGUUAUUUAGUUCAUUGCCAUUACCCAGCAGUCUGAAUCUGAGAAGUAUGUUUACUAGUUCAAAGGUUACGAUAUAAAAUUCUUUUUGAGGAAUGAUUAAAAUCUAGGUUGUUGUUAGGACCAGCUGGUUUUUCAGUCUCAUCUUCUGACAGCUUUUAUUGUUCCACAAUUUUGAAAAGAUGGGGGAAUUACAGAGUUACUUGGUUUUUCAUAAAUAAUCAACUAGUUCUGGGCUGUGCAGUUUUGAUUUGUUUGUUUGUUUUGUGUAGCUAGACGUGGAGAUUUUUAGCUCCUUUCUGGUAGAGAGAUGGUUUCAGUGACUUUUCUUCUUGCUUUUACAGUAUUCCUAACUUGGCUAUGACAAUAUUUUAGAAGAAAGAAUUUAGUAGUUUUGUGUGUGCAAUAAUACUAUUACUGUAAUUCACUUUGGGAAGCCAGAAGUGCAUUUUGUAAACAGAGUUUGUUCUUGAACUCUUUGGUACAAUAGUCUUUGUAAAUUAUAUGUAUAAUUUAUAGACUGGUAUUCUCUGGAAAUUUGGAAAUGGCUUUAUCUGUUAUGAGAUUUUAACUGGAUUUUUCUUUUUGGUUUUCGUGUAUGUUGUUUUGUUAUUACUGGAAGUAAUAAUAAAAAAAGAAAAAUUAGUGUCACCUUUCCACCUUUCUCUGAGCAUAGCAGCUGAGUCCUGCGAACAGUCUUACACUUUUCAAAUUUAACUAUGGUCUCAGAAUAUGUCUGGUAGUUUCAAGGCAAGUUUUGUUUUGUUCACUUCUGUUUUCAAGAUGUGUUAGGAUCUGCUUAGCAUCCUAUCUGGUAGGCUGUAUAACUUGAAAUCUAGUUAUUCUGGUUUCUGUGUUCCUAGGAGAAGGGGGCCCCUGCAGAAAUUUUUCUUUCCCUUUAAUCACAUCUUUCUGCCCACUUCCAUGAGUAGCCACUUAACUCACUGGCCAUUUCCACUCUUUGGAGUGGCAAGUGUAAAUUAAAUAAAUGAUGACUAGAGCUGAAAAGGUACCCAGAGUAUGUAUGUUCCCUUUCCUUCUAGGCAGGUGACUUGACCUCUGGGGUGCACAUGAGGUAUCUGGAGAACACCUCCAUAACACCUUGGAAUAUAUACUGUGUACACGAGUUAGCAUAUUGUGCUUCAGAGACACGUUUUGUAAAGUAAUGAUUUGGUAUCUGCCCUUGACGAUUUUAUAAUUUAAAGGAAAGCACUAUAAACAUUGGCCAGCUCUGUGUCUAUUCCUGUAUCUACACGCCUGUACAAGUGUACGCAGACACAUCUGGUAGCAGUGUCGGAAAUCUUGCAGGCUCUGUGGGGGUGAGUGAUACAUCUAGAUCAGCCUCUGCUUAAUUAGAGGACUUAGAGAAGCAGGUGAAAUUUAAAGAGUGAUUAAAAAACUGGGAAACAAAAGUCUGGAUGUGGGAGAUAAAAAAGUAGAGACUUGUGUGGGCACAGAAACUAGACGAGCAUUCUGCUGUGAGAAGGGUCAGGGAUCAUGAGUUCAGCUCCUGAAUGUCUUUGAAAUCCACUGUGAGAACUUUGGAUGUCUUCGGGAACUGGGAGCCACCAUUGGGAAAGGUGGUGUUUUAAGUAUUUCUCUAGGAAAAUAAUUUUGGUGCCCAUGUGAUUGUACUUCCUCUUCUUUGUAGACGUUGCCGUAAAGAGUAGGAUUUGUGAAUCUAGGAGAGCUUUGUGGCAAACUUGGUCUUGGUUUCUUUCUCUGCUUGGUUUAUAGAAAUUGUACACCUAGAUCUAGGAUUGGUUUGCCAGUAGUGGUAGGUCUGCUCUCUAUUUUUGUGAAUUCUUGGUGGCUAUUGAUGUUAGAACCACAGGGGUAAGACAUUCUUAAAGCUUUACCACCCCCCCCAAAAAAGAAAAA